AAUAUCGAUGUAUUUUUUAGUCAACAAAGAUUUUACCAAUUUUGUGUAUCACAUUUUUUUCACAUUUGAUGAUGGAAUUGAUAUAAAUUCCUUCACUGCUUUGCUUAUUGAAAUUCUUUUCUUGGAUGGUUUCUGUGAUAUAUUGAUGAUUCUUUGUAGUAAAAACAUCGCUCUUAAAUUUGAUUUUAUAGGAGAUACGUGUUUGUUUUGUCUACCAUCCUAUUCACUAUUGUUGUUUACGAUAUUUUUCUAAUGUGAAUCUAUAAUUUUUCUUCAUGGUUAGCUAUGUGAUUUUGGUAGCUUACAACGUGUUUGAUGAAAUGCCUCAAUGAAGCAUUUUGUUGAUUUUUAUUUGUUUUUUGUUCGUUUGAAUUAGGAAAUCAAGGCCAAGGAAGAUUUCAUGGCUAUGAGCUGAAGUUUUGAGAAAAAGAGAAUGAAAAAUGAAAUGUAUCUGGGCAAGACAAGUCUUCACCUACUAACAGUGCAAUCACUUCAUCAUCAAAUGUAUCUCAUAAAUCAAGUCAGAGAUAUCAUGGAGCAACUUUGGAUAGCUUUAAGCAACCUAAAUCACGCCGCCAUGAAAUAAAUGUAAUGCAUGCCAUGCUUGAAGUUUCAAGAUGCAAACAUUUGGUGAUCAGUCUAGUGGAAGUUCUGCUAUCAGAGGAUCAUUAUAUUGGUUUCUAUCAAAAUCCAAAAUUCUAAACCCCUUCUCUCUUAUUUACUCUUCUUUAUUCAUAAUAUGAAUUUGUUACUUUAUUUCUACCUUUUUAUUGGUUCUGAAAUCUGUAUUUGAUGUAAUACAUACACAUUUGUUUCUCUGUGUAUAAUAAAAUGAUCUUCUUUGGCUGCCUUGUAA